rnacentral:rRNA from 1 species
GACGAACGCGGCGGCGUGCCUAAUACAUGCAAGUAGAACGCUGAAGGAGGAGCUUGCUUCUCUGGAUGAGUUGCGAACGGGUGAGUAACGCGUAGGUAACCUGCCUGGUAGCGGGGGAUAACUAUUGGAAACGAUAGCUAAUACCGCAUAAUAGCAGUUGUUGCAUGACAACUGUUUGAAAGAUGCAAUUGCAUCACUACCAGAUGGACCUGCGUUGUAUUAGCUAGUUGGUGGGGUAACGGCUCACCAAGGCGACGAUACAUAGCCGACCUGAGAGGGUGAUCGGCCACACUGGGACUGAGACACGGCCCAGACUCCUACGGGAGGCAGCAGUAGGGAAUCUUCGGCAAUGGACGGAAGUCUGACCGAGCAACGCCGCGUGAGUGAAGAAGGUUUUCGGAUCGUAAAGCUCUGUUGUAAGAGAAGAACGAGUGUGAGAGUGGAAAGUUCACACUGUGACG